rnacentral:rRNA from 1 species
GACGAACGCUGGCGGCGUGCUUAACACAUGCAAGUCGAACGGAAAGGCCCUGCUUUUGUGGGGUGCUCGAGUGGCGAACGGGUGAGUAACACGUGAGUAACCUGCCCUUGACUUUGGGAUAACUUCAGGAAACUGGGGCUAAUACCGGAUAGGAGCUCCUGCUGCAUGGUGGGGGUUGGAAAGUUUCGGCGGUUGGGGAUGGACUCGCGGCUUAUCAGCUUGUUGGUGGGGUAGUGGCUUACCAAGGCUUUGACGGGUAGCCGGCCUGAGAGGGUGACCGGCCACAUUGGGACUGAGAUACGGCGCAGACGCCUACGGGAGGCAGCAGUCGGGAAUAUUGCACAAUGGGGGGAAGCCUGAGGCAGCAACGCCGCGUGCGGGAUGACGGCCUUCGGGUUGUAAACCGCUUUCGCCUGUGACGAAGCGUGAGUGACGGUAAUGGGUAAAGAAGCACCGGCUAACUACGUG